AGGGUUUGAUCCUGGCUCAGAACGAACGUUGGCGGCGUGGAUUAGGCAUGCAAGUCGAACGAAUCCCUUGAGGGUAACUUUGAGGGGGAAGUGGCGAAAGGGGCAGUAAUACAUAGGCAACCUACCUCCGGGACGUGGAUAGCCGGCAGAGAUGCCGGGUAAUACGCGGCGAGUCAGCGGGAAGGCAUCUUCCUGCUGGGAAAUGAAUUUCGCCUGGAGAGGGGCUUAUGCCGUAUUAGCUAGUUGGCGGGGUAAUGGCCCACCAAGGCGAAGAUGCGUAGCGGGUGUGAGAGCACGACCCGCGCCACUGGCACUGAGACACUGGCCAGACACCUACGGGUGGCUGCAGUCGAGGAUCUUCGGCAAUGGGCGCAAGCCUGACCGAGCGACGCCGCGUGGACGAUGAAGGCCUUCGGGUUGUAAAGUCCUGUCGAGGGGGAUAAAACCGCAAGGUUGAUAGAUCCCUGGAGGAAGCACGGGCUAAGUUCGUGCCAGCAGCCGCGGUAAGACGAACCGUGCGAACGUUGUUCGGAAUCACUGGGCUUAAAGGGCGCGUAGGCGGCCGGCAAAGUCAGGGGUGAAAUCCCGCAGCUUAACUGCGGAAGUGCCUUUGAUACUGGUCGGCUCGAGGGAGACAGGGGUCUGUGGAACGGGUGGUGGAGCGGUGAAAUGCGUUGAUAUCACUCGGAACGCCGGUGGCGAAAGCGACGGACUGGAUCUCUACUGACGCUGAGGCGCGAAAGCCAGGGGAGCAAACGGGAUUAGAUACCCCGGUAGUCCUGGCCCUAAACGAUGGGUACUAGAUUGUGGACUUGUCAUGGGUUCCCAGUCGAAGCAAAAGUUUUAAGUACCCCGCCUGGGGAGUAUGGUCGCAAGGCUGAAACUCAAAGGAAUUGACGGGGGCUCACACAAGCGGUGGAGCAUGUGGCUUAAUUCGAGGCUACGCGAAGAACCUUAUCCUAGGCUUGACAUGUGCGAAAGCGGCUGGAAGUAGCGGACGGAAACGCCCCGCGAACGGUAUCCAAUCCGGAACCAGCUACAGGUGCUGCAUGGCUGUCGUCAGCUCGUGUCGUGAGAUGUCGGGUUAAGUCCCAUAACGAGCGAAACCCUUGUCCUUAGUUGCCAAUCAUGGGACUCUAAGGAAACUGCCGGUGUUAAACCGGAGGAAGGCGGGGAUGACGUCAAGUCCUCAUGGCCUUUAUGCCUAGGGCUGCACACGUGCUACAAUGCCGCGCACAAAGGGACGCCAACGCGCAAGCGGGAGCAAAUCCCAAAAAAACGCGGCCCUUUCAGAUCGAAGGCUGCAACUCGCCUUCGUGAAGUUGGAAUCGCUAGUAAUCGCGGGUCAGCAACACCGCGGUGAAUGUGUUCCUGAGCCUUGUACACACCGCCCGUCAAGCCACGAAAGAGCGGAGCGCCCGAAGUCGCGUCAGCGCCGAAGGCGAUACGCUUGAUUGGGACUAAGUCGUAACAAGGUAACCGUAGGGGAACCUGCGGUUG
rnacentral:rRNA from 1 species